AACGAACGCUGGCGGCAUGCCUAACACAUGCAAGUCGAGCGAGCCCUUCGGGAUGAGCGGCGUACGGGUGAUUAACGCGUGGGAACGUUCCCUUUUCUACGGAAUAGCCUCGGGAAACUGAGAGUAAUAGCGUAUAGGCCCUUGUGGGGAAAGAUUUAUCGGAAAAGGAUCGGCCCGAGUUGGAUUAGGUAGUUGGUGGGGUAAUGGCAUACCAAGCCGACGAUCCAUAGCUGGUUUGAGAGGAUGAUCAGCCACACUGGGACUGAGACACGGCCCAGACUCCUACGGGAGGCAGCAGUGGGGAAUCUUAGACAAUGGGGGCAACCCUGAUCUAGCCAUGCCGCGUGAGUGAUGAAGGCCUUAGGGUUGUAAAGCUCUUUCAGCUGGGAAGAUAAUGACGGUACCAGCAGAAGAAGCCCCGGCUAACUCCGUG
rnacentral:rRNA from 1 species